UACAGAGGGGGGCGAGCGUUUGUUCGGAAUUACUGGGCGUAAAGAGCGCGCAGGCGGUCGUUCAAGUCGAGUGUGAAAGCCCCCCGGCUCAACUGGGGAGGGUCACUCGAUACUGAUCGACUCGAAGGCAGGAGAGGGAAGUGGAAUUCCCGGUGUAGUGGUGAAAUGCGUAGAUAUCGGGAGGAACACCAGUGGCGAAGGCGACUUCCUGGCCUGUUCUUGACGCUGAGGCGCGAAAGCUAGGGGAGCAAACGGGG
rnacentral:rRNA from 1 species